UGGUUAAAGUGCAGCUGGUAUAUCUGGC
rnacentral:piRNA from 1 species